rnacentral:rRNA from 1 species
GCGGUAACGUGCGAAGCUUACUGAUACUAAUAGCUCGAUAGGCUUGAUUAC